GAGACAGAUAAGGUCUGGAUCAGAAAUAAGGCAAUGAAGGAUGAAAAGAAAUGGUUUGGCAAGAAUUUGCAACUGAUUAGAUUAAGAAGAGAGAGGCAAAUAAGCUAGAAGGAGGAAUCUGAGGUGAAUCCAAGAUUUUAGACUGUCAAAGGGCUGGAAAAAAUGAGGAAGUCCAAAGGGGGAUCUGAGAUGCAGUUGACUUUAGAAAUUAGAGAUACCCAGCAGAAAGUUAAAGGUCAGGACUAAAGCUCGAAGCAAAGGUCAGGACUGCAAAUAUAUGGCUGAAUGUCUAUCAUCUAAAAGUCUGUAGAGAACUGAGUAUGCAGGAGUGAACCUUGGGAGGGAAACAUCAGUGCAAGUCAAAUAGAAUUAAGUAAGCCAUCUAUAAUCCUAUUUUUGGCCUUCCACAAUUUGAUAUAAUUUUAUUUCUUUGUACAAUGUGGUCUACAUUUUCAGUUAUGUGUGUAAGAAUUAGUUGUUAGUGUAUGAACCGUCUUCACUAUGCUAGUGAGUCAGCUCUGUGUAGGACAAGAUGAACUGGUUUUCAAUAUUUUAAUAUCCCUUGUUUCUUCAAGGAGAUCAGGGAUUAUACACUUUUCAAAUUCUAAAUAAAAGAAUGUGCUUUGUUUCUUAA
ensembl:lncRNA novel transcript